UCUUGGCCUGGAAGUUUUAGUGGAGUUGCCCCUGAAGGAUCCUAAUUCAAGACAAAACUCCUGAAGACCCAUGGCACAUUUUGGUUUCUAACUUUACCACUCAGAGACUCCUGCAUGUCGGGAGACAUUCUGUAGCUGUUUUAGUACAAAAAUCUUUACUGGAAGUGGUAAUGGCUGUUAAAGAGAAAUUUAUUAGAGAGUGGAUCUUGUAAAGAAGAAAACAAGUCCAGACUAUAUUUAUUUGCACAUAUCGGCUUGGACAUUUUAAGGAAUACUUGUACUCUUAACUGGCUCAGGUGUUUGGUUUGUUUUGGGUUUUUUCAUUUUAGUGCAGACAGAAUUAUACCCUGUAACAACUCUGAUAAGACUUGGAAAGGAAACAUAUAUUCAAAGAGUUUUAACUUGGCUUGCUUUAUUUUCCCUUUUUAAAAAUAGCAUUUUUCAGAUUAUGCUUAUAUUUCUAGGGUUUUUUCCCCUCUCUAGAUAAACACCAUCAGCUUACACCAUCAUAUCAUUGUUACUGUGCAGCAGGCUACCUAAGUAAAUUCUGGUUUUCAGCCUCUGUUGUUAAAACCCAUUUUUGUUUUAAUAUAACUAAAUUGGUGUGGAAAGGUAGGAAUAUUGCCUGUUAUUGCAAUGCUGUAAAUACAUUGUGUAUGGAAGACCUAAGUGAUAAAGAGCUUAAUUAACUGUGAUUUAUAUGGAUCUAUAUGAUCAUGAAAUCACCAGAGUUUGCAGCAACCUAAUUUGUUUUUAAUAAGUGUUGCCUGAAAGACUAGUAAUUACAGUAAUAAACCAAUUAGUGAACUAAAGCAUAGUAAAUUUAAAAACAAAAGCAGUCACAGGAUAUUUCCUUAGGAAUCCUAAGUUCUUCAUGUUUAUAAAAGUUACUUCAUGUUUAUAUUACACUGGAACUGCAGUAGCACCUGUAACAGGUGAAUUUUCAAGCAAUUUCCUACUCUAAACUCACAUUUUUGAGGUUUCCAGAAAUAUUUAUGCUUUGGCUUAACAGUUUAAGCAUAGUCCCAAAGCUGCCUUGUUGAUUUAAGUGGAUGCUGUUAAUAUUAUUUCUGUGCUGUGUGUGGGUAAGAAGCCCUGAGUAGACCCAGAAGUUGGCAGGCUGGGGUGAGGCCACAGUGAAGGACUCUGGAGAGCCAGCCUGUGGAUUAAUAGAGCAAGAGUCGCCCUUGGCAAAGCCAACAAUUGUUGAGUGAUAUAUGAACUAGACAAGUAAGAAGCAAAAUCAUUAUUUUCACUAUUUCAAGUCAAAUACAGUUCAGCAGGAAUAAACCAACAUGCAGAGGUCAGGCUGUCUGAGAGAUGAUGGGAGCCCCACCCUCAGCAACUGGACACUUACACACAUGCUAUCUUGGCUGUGCUAGUCACUUCUGCUAGGACACCUUGUGUUGCAUCCUGGGGUAGAGAACAAAAGCAAACGCUGCAACCUUGGAACAGAUUUUUUUGGAAAGAACUGGAAAAAGGAGGGGCUGCAACUGCCAUAAAUGCCUGCUUCACCUUACAGAUUAUCCUGAAACAACAGCUGGCAGACGUGCUGACAAAAGCAACCCUGUCUCAGGAAAGAAUUCUCUCCAGAAAAGAUUGAGAUCUCAAAAUUCAAUUUUCAAAUAAUUUUAAAAGCUCACAAAGAGCAGAAAACAUCACCCUUUGUGGUGCAGAAGUGCAGGGUCUCAGAACAGAGGUGACUUGACCACGGCACAUAUUGAUUUUGAUGUCUAUGAAUUCUCCAGGCCCCAAAGAUCCACGCAGUUUAGACAUGAGUUGCCAGACGUGAGCUGGUACAUGGUGGGACACCAGCUGCUUCGCUGUCCAUCACCAGUUGUGAUGUCCUGUUGUGAAAAUACCUUCUCACCGUGCCACGCGUGUGCUCUUACAGUGCACAUUAAACAAUUCAUGCUGG